rnacentral:rRNA from 1 species
UACGGGGGGGGCAAGCGUUGUUCGGAAUUACUGGGCGUAAAGGGCUCGUAGGCGGCCAACUAAGUCGGACGUGAAAUCCCUCGGCUUAACCGGGGAACUGCGUCCGAUACUGGAUGGCUUGAGUUCGGGAGAGGGAUGCGGAAUUCCAGGUGUAGCGGUGAAAUGCGUAGAUAUCUGGAGGAACACCGGUGGCGAAGGCGGCAUCCUGGACCGACACUGACGCUGAGGAGCGAAAGCCAGGGGAGCAAACGGG